GGCGGCGAGGGGCGAACGGGUGAGUAACGUAUCGGAACGUACCCUAUCGUGGGGGAUAACGAAUCCAAAGAUUCGCUAAUACCGCAUACGACCUGAGGGUGAAAGCGGGGGAUCGCAAGACCUCGCGCGACAGGAGCGGCCGAUAUCGGAUUAGCUAGUUGGUGAGGUAAAGGCUCACCAAGGCGACGAUCCGUAGCUGGUCUGAGAGGACGACCAGCCACACUGGGACUGAGACACGGCCCAGACUCCUACGGGAGGCAGCAGUGGGGAAUUUUGGACAAUGGGGGAAACCCUGAUCCAGCCAUUCCGCGUGAGUGAAGAAGGCCUUCGGGUUGUAAAGCUCUUUCGGCAGGAACGAAAAGGUGCGGGCUAAUACCCUGUAUCAAUGACGGUACCUGAAGAAGAAGCACCGGCUAACUACGUGCCAGCAGCCGCGGUAAUACGUAGGGUGCGAGCGUUAAUCGGAAUUACUGGGCGUAAAGCGUGCGCAGGCGGUUUUGUAAGACAGAUGUGAAAUCCCCGGGCUUAACCUGGGAACUGCGUUUGUGACUGCAAGACUUGAGUGCGGCAGAGGGGGUGGAAUUCCACGUGUAGCAGUGAAAUGCGUAGAGAUGUGGAGGAACACCGAUGGCGAAGGCAGCCCCCUGGGUCGACACUGGCGCUCAUGCACGAAAGCGUGGGUAGCAAACAGGAUUAGAUACCCUGGUAGUCCACGCCCUAAACGAUGCCAACUAGGUGUUGGGGAAGGAGACUUCCUUAGUACCGUAGCUAACGCGUGAAGUUGGCCGCCUGGGGAGUACGGUCGCAAGAUUAAAACUCAAAGGAAUUGACGGGGACCCGCACAAGCGGUGGAUGAUGUGGAUUAAUUCGAUGCAACGCGAAAAACCUUACCUACCCUUGACAUGCCAGGAAUCCCGGAGAGAUUUGGGAGUGCUCGAAAGAGAGCCUGGACACAGGUGCUGCAUGGCUGUCGUCAGCUCGUGUCGUGAGAUGUUGGGUUAAGUCCCGCAACGAGCGCAACCCUUGUCAUUAGUUGCCAUCAUUUAGUUGGGCACUCUAAUGAGACUGCCGGUGACAAACCGGAGGAAGGUGGGGAUGACGUCAAGUCCUCAUGGCCCUUAUGGGUAGGGCUUCACACGUCAUACAGUGGUCGGUACAGAGGGUUGCCAAGCCGCGAGGUGGAGCCAAUCCCAGAAAGCCGAUCGUAGUCCGGAUCGGAGUCUGCAACUCGACUCCGUGAAGUCGGAAUCGCUAGUAAUCGUGGAUCAGCAUGUCACGGUGAAUACGUUCCCGGGUCUUGUACACACCGCCCGUCACACCAUGGGAGUGGGUUUCACCAGAAGUAGGUAGCCUAACCGCAAGGAGGGCGCUUACCACGGUGGGAUUCAUGACUGGGGUGAAGUCGUAACAAGGUA
rnacentral:rRNA from 1 species